UGUGGGACAGCUCAGUUGGUAGAACAUGAGACUCUUAAUCUCAGGGUUGUGAGUUGGUGCCUCAUUCUGGCUUAA